GAUGAACGCUAGCUACAGGCUUAACACAUGCAAGUCGAGGGGUAACAAGAGGAAAGCUUGCUUUUCUUGUUGACGACCGGCGCACGGGUGAGUAACGCGUAUCCAACCUGCCUAUAACUAGGGAAUAACCUUGCGAAAGUAAGACUAAUACCCUAUGAUUUCCUUUGAUGACAUCAGAUUAGGAAUAAAGAUUUAUCGGUUAUAGAUGGGGAUGCGUCUGAUUAGCUUGUUGGCGGGGUAACGGCCCACCAAGGCAACGAUCAGUAGGGGUUCUGAGAGGAAGGUCCCCCACAGUGGAACUGAGACACGGUCCAAACUCCUACGGGAGGCAGCAGUGAGGAAUAUUGGUCAAUGGGCGGAAGCCUGAACCAGCCAAGUAGCAUGCAGGAUGACGGCCCUAUGGGUUGUAAACUGCUUUUAUACAGGAAUAAAGUUAGCCACGUGUGGUUAUUUGUAGGUACUGUAUGAAUAAGGACCGGCUAAUUCCGUGCCAGCCGCCGCAGUAA
rnacentral:rRNA from 1 species